GGGAAUAUUGCACAAUGGGCGCAAGCCUGAUGCAGCCAUGCCGCGUGUGUGAAGAAGGCCUUCGGGUUGUAAAGCACUUUCAGCGAGGAGGAAGGGUAGUGUGUUAAUAGCACAUUGCAUUGACGUUACUCGCAGAAGAAGCACCGGCUAACUCCGUGCCAGCAGCCGCGGUAAUACGGAGGGUGCAAGCGUUAAUCGGAAUUACUGGGCGUAAAGCGCACGCAGGCGGUUUGUUAAGUCAGAUGUGAAAUCCCCGCGCUUAACGUGGGAACUGCAUUUGAAACUGGCAAGCUAGAGUCUUGUAGAGGGGGGUAGAAUUCCAGGUGUAGCGGUGAAAUGCGUAGAGAUCUGGAGGAAUACCGGUGGCGAAGGCGGCCCCCCUGGACAAAGACUGACGCUCAGGUGCGAAAGCGUGGGGAGCAAAACAGGAUUAGAUACCCUGGUAGUCCACGCUGUAAACGAUGUCGACUUGGAGGUUGUGCCCUUGAGGCGUGGCUUCCGGAGCUAACGCGUUAAGUCGACCGCCUGGGGGAGUACGGCCGCAAGGUUAAA
rnacentral:rRNA from 1 species